GGGGAACUAUGGUUCGCAUUUGCUGUAUUUUGAGCUUGGGUUGAGGCUGACCCCGAUCCUUGACGCAUGGGGGAUAAAGGUAAACUCCCAGUCGAAGCCUGACGAGACAAUUCAAAUGGCAUGUUGCCAUUUCCAGAUACAGUGGGCAUUCCCAGACGAUCUGAAAAUGGAUGACCAAAUGCAAGCCAAUCUUUCUCUACAAGUGCCUGAAACCCUCUAAUUGUGCGAUAAUAUGGGUCAAGUAGCAAGCUGGCAAGUGAGACCAAUUGUGAUGUUC
rnacentral:misc_RNA from 1 species